GAACACAACUACUAUUUUUAAAAACCUUUGCAUGCUCAAAAUGCAUUUUGUGCACGUCAUUUAUGAGGAAAAUGAUCCUUAAAGUGUUAAAGAUCAAGUGUUUUAUAAUAUAACCAACAUCACUAAUAUCAGUGUUAGUAAUAUUAUUGAUAAUAUUGAUUAGAGGGAGAUCAGGAGGAAUAUGAUGAUGUGAGUGAAGAUGUGACAAACCUGCUGGAUUAUGAUGAUGUGGACGAGGAGUUAAAUGAAGAGGGAGAGACAUUUGGGUCAACAAUCAAACCCAGUUAUUUGCUUCAACAGAUUUGAUCACUGAGAACUCAAGAGUGAUAUUGUAACUGAUAUCUCUGAUAUAUCUUUUAUAAUAAUUUUAUGAUUAUUUUAUGAUAAAAAAGUUAUUAAAGUUAUAUAUUUGAUGUGAUUUUUUUAUUCAGCUUUGUUCAUUGCAAUAAAAAUCUUGUUUAGGC
ensembl:processed_transcript